rnacentral:rRNA from 1 species
AUUGAACGCUGGCGGCAGGCUUAACACAUGCAAGUCGAGCGAGCGGCGGACGGGUGAUUAAUGUCUGGGAAACUGCCUGAUGGAGGGGGAUAACUACUGGAAACGGUAGCUAAUACCGCAUACCAUCAGAUGUGCCCAGAUGGGAUUAGCUUGUAGGUGGGGUAAUGGCUAACCUAGGCGACGAUCCCUAGCUGGUCUGAGAGGAUGACCAGACACACGGGAACUGAGAAACGCUCCAGACUCCUACGGUAGGCAGCAGUGGGAAAUAUUGCACAAUGGGCGCAAGCCUGAUGUAGCCAUGCCGCGUGUGUGAAGAAGGCCUUCGGGUUGUAAAGCACUUUCAGCGAGGAGGCGUUACUCGCAGAAGAAGCACCGGCUAACUCCGUGACAGCAGCCGCGGUAAUUC